rnacentral:rRNA from 1 species
AUUGAACGCUGGCGGCAUGCUUUACACAUGCAAGUCGAACGGCAGCGCGGGCUUCGGCCUGGCGGCGAGUGGCGAACGGGUGAGUAAUGCAUCGGAACGUGCCCAGUAGUGGGGGAUAGCCCGGCGAAAGCCGGAUUAAUACCGCAUACGACCUGAGGGUGAAAGCGGGGGACCGAAAGGCCUCGCGCUAUUUGAUCGGCCGAUGUCGGAUUAGCUAGUUGGUGGGGUAAAGGCUUACCAAGGCGACGAUCCGUAGCUGGUCUGAGAGGACGACCAGCCACACUGGGACUGAGACACGGCCCAGACUCCUACGGGAGGCAGCAGUGGGGAAUUUUGGACAAUGGGGGCAACCCUGAUCCAGCCAUGCCGCGUGCGGGAAGAAGGCCUUCGGGUUGUAAAACGCUUUUGUUCGGGAAGAAAUCCUCUGGGCUAAUACCCCGGGGGGAUGACGGUACCGGAAGAAUAAGCACCGGCUAACUACGUG